rnacentral:rRNA from 1 species
GUGUCAGCAGCCGCGGUAAGACGGAAGGUGCAAGCGUUGCUCGGAAUCACUGGGCGUAAAGGGUGCGUAGGCGGCCGUGCAAGUCUGGCGUGAAAGCCCCGGGCUCAGCCCGGGAAGUGCGCUCGAAACUGCGCGGCUCGAGUGCCGGAGGGGAGAGUGGAAUUCCUGGUGUAGCGGUGAAAUGCGUAGAUAUCAGGAGGAAUACCGGUGGCGAAAGCGACUCUCUGGACGGCAACUGACGCUGAGGCACGAAAGCGUGGGGAGCAAACAGGAUUAGAAACCCCCGUAGUCC